rnacentral:siRNA from 1 species
UCCGGGCGUCGGCCUGUGGGC